UGGGGAAUAUUGGACAAUGGAGGAAACUCUGAUCCAGCACUUCUGUGUGUGUGAAGAAGGUUUUAGGACUGUAAAACACUUUUAGUAGGGAAGAAAACAAUGACGGUACCUACAGAAGAAGCAACGGCUAAAUACGUGCCAGCAGCCGCGGUCAUACGUAUGUUGCGAGCGUUAUCCGGAAUUAUUGGGCUUAAAGGGCAUCUAGGCGGUAAGACAAGUUGAAGGUGAAAACCUGUGGCUCAACCAUAGGCUUGCCUACAAAACUGUUGAACUAGAGUACUGGAAAGGUGGGUGGAAAUACACGAGUAGAGUUGAAAUUCGUAGAUAUGUGUAGGAAUGCCGAUGAUGAAGAUAACUCACUGGACAGAAACUGACGCUGAAGUGCGAAAGCUAGGGGAGCAAACAGG
rnacentral:rRNA from 1 species